rnacentral:rRNA from 1 species
GAUGAACGCUGGCGGCGUGCUUAACACAUGCAAGUCGAACGGAAAGGCCCAAGCUUGCUUGGUUCCUCGAGUGGCGAACGGGUGAGUAACACGUGGUUGAUCUGCCCUGCACUUCGGGAUAAGCCUGGGAAACUGGGUCUCAUACCGGAUAUGACCCCUUCUUGGAUGUUGUUGUGGAAAGUUUUUUCGGUGUGGGAUGAGCUCGCGGCCUAUCCGCUUGUUGGUGGGGUUAUGGCCUACCAAGGCGUCGACGGGUCGCCGGCCUGAGAGGGUGUACGGCCACAUUGGGACUGAGAUACGGCACAGACUCCUACGGGAGGCAGCAGUGGGGAAUAUUGCACAAUGGGCGCAAGCCUGAUGCAGCGACGCCGCGUGGGGGAUGACGGCCUUCGGGUUGUAAACUCCUUUCGCUAGGGACGAAGCGUUUUGUGACGGUACCUGGAGAAGAAGCACCGGCUAACUACGUG